GAUCGAAAAUGACAGCCAUCAAGAUCAUAACAAAUUGAGGUGGACGGUGGCAAGUAGGUCUCCGCACAACCAUGCAGACAACAAGUACAGGAGCUGCCUGCCUUAUCCCUGACAACACUUCAGUUUCAGGUCAAUUUGUAUUCUUUCUUCUCUUUGCGUCUUCUAUCCUUUAUUACCUUGCCGAACUCGAUUUGGAAUGGUUGGAUUGGUUACUCUGCAAGAUUAAGUUACAACACAUGGAUCAGUUUACAGUGCGUAUGUGGUCACAUUCUUCUCUUUUUUACUAGGAGAAAUUAAACCAGAUAGGUGCGCUUAUUGCCGGACGCAGCGUCCUUCAGCUGGUGUGUCUCCAGCAGGACCCCUCUAACAAGGAGCUCAAAUUAUUUCUCAUGCAAGUGGAGGUCCAAUGGAGUGAGCAAGAUGCAGUGAUCAGGUUGUUUUAAAUCCAUGAUUACUAAAAUUGUUGUAUCAGAUUUUUCUAGAGCGUUUAUCCACAUCAGAUUUCAUAACAGAGGACUACAACAAUUGAUGCUUAUCAGUACAGAACUUCAAAAACAGAAUAGUAAAGGUUUGUAUGUCAGAAUAAUGCAAGAACUGUAGGCAAGUACAUUUUUCUCCUCUUCAAUGACACCUAUUUUUCAUUAGCAUAAAUUAAACCAGAUGGGUGUGCAGUGUUGUGCAAAUCAAAGGACAAACAUCAUAUCAGGAAAAGUAAAUUCUAAGAACAAACAAGAAUCUUUUUCUGCACUUUGGGAAAAUCUGAGACAGGUAAUUCGAAGUUAUGUACUUGGGCUAGCUUUUACAGUUGAAGCUUAUGCAACGGGAUUUGCACACGUACUAAUAUUAAAGACUAGGCAUGCUAAUAUGCUAUUGUAAACACAUGGCAUAGCUAAUAGGCAGAUCUUUUUUUGCAUUAGAGGUGAAAUUGAACAAAGAAAAAUGCUCCUUCUGGCCUUGGAAGUGCCUUCAGUGGAGCCACAGGCCUGCAAUUGUCUAAUUCUUCCAGGCUUUGGCCUUGGAGGUGCCUUCAAUGGAGCCACAGGUCCUGAUAUAUUCCACAAUUUAUGUCUGGUUGCAAUAUUUAAGGUAUCUGUGCAUAAUACUCCGUGCCUUCAGGACUGCUCCCUCCCUCUGAAAAUUGAAAAGUUGCUUGUCCACCAAACAAAAUACCGUGUUGGUUACUCAAAAAGUAAAAAUAUAGUGGUCCUUGUUCUGUAUUAUACGUACUAGCCUUGAUUGUUCUAAAGUAAACAGUAGAUUUUGAGCAUUUUCUUUUGUUUGCAAGCUUGACCCCCACUAUUCUGAAUGUUUUCCAUUGUGCCAUUGAUUUUGUUUAUAGAAAAAUCUUCCUCUUCAACUGCAUCUUCCACCACUGUCCCUCCUAUCCUUUUGGUGCUGCUGUUGAUGCUGCUGCUUCCGUUCCUCAUGGGUGAGAGUCUGUAUAAUUUUCUCCUUCCCCUCUGCCCCUGCUACUAGAUGUUGCCAUCAGCUGGGCUUAAGAGUUAAGUUCUGUAAUACUUGUUGCAUAGAACUUAAGUUUUUGUUUUCAUUGGUGCGUGGAACUUGGAAAUUUUCGAGAUUCUCAAGCUUCUGAUGCUGCCAUGCUAAUGUUGGUUCAAAGGAUGGGACAUACGCUAUGAAGGUGGUGGAUACAGUCAUACAGAGCAAGGGGGCAACUGAUCUGGUGAAGGAGGUUCAUCCUUGUUCAAUCAUCCCAAUCUGCUACCUCUUCUUGACAAUGCCAUAAUAGCAGUGAAGCUGUGAAGGUCUGCCUUGUACUUUUUGUAGUUCCUCUUCUAGUGAAGCCUUUCCUUGCAGAAGACGCACUCAACCUCUAAAUUGGGCAACCUACCUUUCCGAGGCUCCGAAAAGAUGAAGAUGGAGAGAGUUAGGCCUUGGAAAUGUGAAGAUUUUGAGGGUGUUUUGGGUUUGAGAGUACGAAAAGAAAAACUUCAGAGUCUCCUUUUGAUAGUAUGAGAUACUCCAAACCAAAACAAGGAGUAAAAUUUUACUCUUAACAGCCAAGAAACUGUGCAACACAAAUUCUGUAGUCAACAAAACUGAAACUGGAGUCGGUGCUUAGAACUGCAGGAGUAGUCAGUUUUCCUAAUUUUACUCUUAACAACAUAUCAAAACUACAGAAGUUUUGGCACCAACAAAACUGAGUACUCCAUUGCUUCCAUGUUCCA